CUCUUAAAAUAUUUUAAGUAGUCUCUGCCCAAUGAAAUUAAUUUUAAUGGCCGCAGUAUUUUAGCUGUGCUAAGGUAGCGUAAUCAUUUGUUUUUUAAUUGAAAACUUGAAUAAAAGAGUUGACGAAAAAUAAACUGUUUUAGAGUAAAAUAAAAUUGACAUCAAAAUCAAAAGGUUUUGAUAAAAUAAAGGGACGAUAAGACCCUGUGAAAUUUUACUUUUAAAAAAGUUUGCUCUUUUUAAAAAAGUUUAACUGGGGCGGUGAAUACAUUAAUCUUUUUCAAAAAAAAAACAAAAAUGUUGUUAUGUAGAACAUAAAUAUAUAAAUUUAUACAAAUUACUCCAGGGAUAACAGCACAAUUUCUUUUUAUAGCUCUUAUAGACAAAGAAGUUUGUGACCUCGAUGUUGAAUUGAAAUUACAUAUAAAAGCAGAAA
rnacentral:rRNA from 1 species